ACAGCUCUGAUUGCGUCAAGCAAGAUGAACGGUUUAUGGACCAUCACUCGAAGAAAAACUAGUAGCGUACCCUUGUUCACUAAAAUCAACAAGCAUGUAGGAGCCCAGGCCUGCACCGGCAAGUGACACAAAAGCUGGCUCACAGAGGAGAAGUAAACAGCUUUGGCCAGGAGUCUGACCCGGUGACCACCCUUGUGUCAGCCCACGCCCUGGUAACUUGGAUGGCUAGAUGCUGUUUGUGUGGCUGUACCAUUCUAAGAAGAGAAUCAAGUCUCGGUGUUCUUUUGAGAUCGCAUGACUUCACACAGGAGAGCUCUUGGAACAGUGCUGAUCACAAAAUAAGCAAGGACUCACACAUUUGUUAUCAUCGAUUUGUUUGUGAUUUAGUCGCUCUCUCUUAUGUACGUUGCUCUUUCUGUUUUUUUCGUUUUUAUUUCCAACAAGGCUGCAAUGGAUAACCUCGAGCUUGUAUUUCUACCCAGGAAUGGAGU